GACGUGUUUGACCUGAAGAAAUAUGGUGCUUCAGAAAAGGCUUUUCUGAGGCUGCUGCCAGUGGUCAAAGCAUCCAACAAAGCUCUACUGAGUGGCUGUAAGCUGUCAGAGACAAGCUGUGAAGCUCUGUCCUCAGUUCUCAGCUCCCAGUCCUCUAGUCUGAGAGAGCUGGACCUGAGUAACAAUAACCUGCAGGAUUAAGAAGUGAAGCUGAUCUCUGAUGGACUGAAGAGUCCACACUGCACACUGGAGACUCUCAGUCUGUCAGGCUGUCUGAUCUCAGAGGAAGGCUGUUCUUCUCUGGUCUCAGCUCUGAGCUUCAACCCCUCCCAUCUGAGAGAGCUGGACCUGAGCUACAAUCAUCCAGGAGACUCAGGAUUGAAGCUACUGUCAGAGGGAAAGAAGGAUCCACUCUGGAGACUGGACACUCUCAGGGUGGAGCCUGCUGGAGUCAGAUGGUUGACACCAGGUCUGAGGAAGUAUUCCUGUGAACUCACACUUGACACAAACACAGCGAACAGAUACCUCAAACUGUCUGACAACAACAGGAAGGUGACAUUAGUGGAGGAGGAUCAGCCAUAUCCUGAUCAUCCAGAGAGGUUUGACUACUAUCAUCAGCUGCUGUGAGAUGGUCUGACUGGUCGCUGUUACUGGGAGGUUGAGAAGGGAGGAGGGGUUGAUAUAGCAGUGAGUUACAGAGGAAUCAGCAGGAGAGGACACAGUUAUGACUGUUGGUUUGGAUGCAAUGAUCAGUCCUGGAGUCUGGACUGCUCUCAUGGUGAUUACUCUGUCUGUCACAAUGACAGAAGAUCAUCCAUCUCCCCCCCCUCUGUCUCUGAUAGAGUAGCAGUGUAUGUUGACUGGCCU